rnacentral:rRNA from 1 species
CCCUUAGAUGUUCUGGGCCGCACGCGCGCUACACUGAUGCAUUCAACGAGCCUAUCCUUGACCGACAGGUCCGGGUAAUCUUUGAAUCUGCAUCGUGACGGGGAUAGAUUAUUGCAAUUAUUAAUCUUCAACGAGGAAUGCCUAGUAGGCGCAAGUCAUCAGCUUGCGUCGAUUACGUCCCUGCCCUUUGUACACACCGCCCGUCGCUUCUACCGAUUGGGUGUGCUGGUGAAAUGUUCGGAUCGGCCGUUUGUCGCGGUUUCCGCGUCAUGUGGCUGAGAAGUUCAUUAAACCCUCCCACCUAGAGGAAGGAGAAGUCGUAACA